rnacentral:rRNA from 1 species
UCGAGAAUCUUCGUCAAUGGGCGAAAGCCUGAACGAGCGACGCCGCGUGCGGGAUGAAGCCCCUUGGGUUGUAAACCGCUGUCGAGGGGGAUGAAGAGCGUGGAGUUAUCUUCACGUUUUGACAGAGCCCAGAAGGAAGCACGGGCUAAGUUCGUGCCAGCAGCCGCGGUAAUACGAACUGUGCGAACGUUAUUCGGAAUCACUGGGCUUACAGGGUGCGUAGGCGGCCAGACAAGUCAGAUGUGAAAGCCCUCGGCUCAACCGGGGAACUGCGUUUGAAACUGUUUGGCUCGAGUCAGCUAGAGGUACACGGAACUUCCAGUGGAGCGGUGAAAUGUGUUGAUAUUGGAAGGAACACCAGAGGCGAAAGCGGUGUACUGGAGCUGGUCCGACGCUGAGGCACGAAAGCCAGGGGAGCGAACGGGA